rnacentral:lncRNA from 1 species
CCUUAGAACACACCAGGAAGUAGAACAAACAAGUGAAACCUCCUAAUCUGGGAAAGAGCUCAGUGUGAGAAAUGGAGGGGAUUCUGGGAAGGCAAAAAGAAAGCAAACAGUCCAGUUAAGAUACCACUGCAGAGUCCACAUGAUGGAUCAUAAUGGUUUCUAAUGUACUGGACAACAUGGGUCAUUGUGGAGAAGGAGAAAAAUGGACAGGUUGACAACAAGAGGAGAAGGAAACAAAGGAAACUGAGAAGAAGUGAUGACUAA